UACGAAGGGGACUAGCGUUGUUCGGAAUUACUGGGCGUAAAGCGUACGCAGGCGGCUAUGUAAGACAGGUGUGAAAUCCCCGGGCUUAACCUGGGAACUGCAUUUGUGACUGCAUGGCUAGAGUGCGGCAGAGGGGGAUGGAAUUCCGCGUGUAGCAGUGAAAUGCGUAGAUAUGCGGAGGAACACCGAUGGCGAAGGCAAUCCCCUGGGCCUGCACUGACGCUCAUGCACGAAAGCGUGGGGAGCAAACAGG
rnacentral:rRNA from 1 species